rnacentral:tRNA from 1 species
UGCAGCUAAGUGGUAGAGUACUUGCCUAGCAUGCAUGAGGUCCUGGGUUUGAUCCCAAAUUGAAA